AGAACACAUUAGUUCCAACUAAAAGAGGAAAAGGAGAGUACAAUUAAGUAAUGUUUACUGCAGUGAUAAAGAAAUUUUAGAGAGAAACUACAAAAGCAAUGUUAAAAUGGUUUGCACUCAUCAACAGAAUCCUACCCCAUGAUUCAGAACAGGAAUUCUACGAUGUUAACCUGGAGGACAUCUCCUGAAGUUGAGCAUUCCUGCCUCACCCAAGACACAGAAGCAGAAACGACC